rnacentral:rRNA from 1 species
UACGAACUGUGCGAACGUUAUUCGGAAUUACUGGGCGUAAAGGGCUCGUAGGCGGCCAACUAAGUCAGACGUGAAAUCCCUCGGCUUAACCGGGGAACUGCGUCUGAUACUGGAUGGCUUGAGGUUGGGAGAGGGAUGCGGAAUUCCAGGUGUAGCGGUGAAAUGCGUAGAUAUCUGGAGGAACACCGGUGGCGAAGGCGGCAUCCUGGACCAAUUCUGACGCUGAGGAGCGAAAGCCAGGGGAGCAAACGGG